UAAGACCUCAUAAGUCCAUCAAAAAAAAUAUCCAAAUGACUUGAAAUAAGACAUAAUUAAAUACUAGAGACACAAAUAAUAGGGGUCUAUGUUGAACAUAUUUUAAGAAUAUAUAAAAUAAGUGGGUUAAAAAAUAAAUCAAAGUUGGAAAUAAAAUAGGGUAAAAAUAAAUAAAAUGAAAACGAAACAAAAUGCAAAAAAAACAUUUUGCACACGCUACGGGUUGCACCCCUGACCUUGGAGUCAUUGGAGGAUCAACCCCCUCUCCCACUGGGCCAAGCGCCCAGUUUAUCAAAAAAU
rnacentral:lncRNA from 1 species